rnacentral:rRNA from 1 species
UGAGGAAUUUUUGCGCAAUGGCCGCAAGGCUGACGCAGCAACGCCGCGUGACCGAUUAAGCUCUGAGGAGUGUAAAGGUCUGUCGCAGAGGAAGAAACUGCCUGAUGAGAAUAUUGUCAGGUACUGACGGUACUCUGUGAGAAAGCUCCGGCUAACUCCGUGCCAGCAGCCGCGGUAAUACGGGGGGGAGCAAGCGUUGUCCGGAAUCACUGGGCGUAAAGAGCGUGUAGGUGUCCUAAUAAGUCUCUGGUGAAAGCCUUCUGCUUAACGGGAGAAUUGCCGGAGAUACUAUUGGGAUUGAGUUCAGAAGAGGGAAGCGGAAUUCCUGGUGUAGCGGUGAAAUGCGUAGAUAUCAGGAAGAACACCGGUGGCGAGGGCGGCUUCCGUGGUCUGAUACUGACA